rnacentral:lncRNA from 1 species
CAAGAUCAUGCCAUUGCACUCCAGCCUGGGCCACAAGAGUGAAACUCCGUCUCAAAAAAAUUACAGCUGACCCUUGAACAACACAGGUUUGAACUGCACUAGUCCACUUAUAUACAGAUUUUCUGCCAGCCUGAGACAGCAAGACCAACCUCAUCACUUCUUCCUCAUUAGGCUACUCAACAUGAAGACUCUGAGUAUGAAGACUUUUAUGAUGAUCCACUUCCAUUUAAUGAACAAUGAAGACAUUUUCUGGGAAAACUGGUACUUCUGUCAUCACUACAGCAGAAGAUGUUAAGAAGCAAGAAGAGAAGAAAAAGAAGAAUCUAUCUUGACUAUGUUAGGUAUAGCUGGAACAGUACUUAACCUCUUAGUGAUUGUUUUGGUCUACAUCCAUACCACACUCUGAAGGUCUCGUUCAAGGGACUGCAUUCAGGGCAAAACCUGGCUCUAACAAGAAAGAUUUAGAAACUAUCCUUUAAAAGCACACCUCCAGAAUAUUAAGACAUACAUCCCAGGGUAACUCCCUUGCUCUAAGAGCAAUUACUAUAUGAUGCUUCCAGUUUGAGGAAUAAAAUUAUAACAAAGCAAAAAAAAAAAAAAA